GAAAAGGGAGUUAACCUUUACCCGAAUAGUAUUCAGUAAUGAAUACUAUUCGAAAUCAAAGAUGGUUGAUGUAUUUUGGCAAUCGGUAUCGGCUGAUUUGCAAUCAAAAUACAUUUAGAAUCGUUAUCAAGAGAUUCUGAACUCAUAAUUUUUGCAACAAGUGGAGUAUAGCUGCUUCGAUUUCGAAGAAUUAAGCGCUCCACA